GAUUAUCACUGGGGGUGCUUGAAAAAGCUGAGAUCAUACCCUUACAACCUGCCAGAUAAUGCUGGAAAGGGAAGUGCAAGAAUACUUCU
rnacentral:ncRNA from 2 species